rnacentral:pre_miRNA from 1 species
UGAUCUGUUUUGGGAAAAUUCUCAUUUAGUUAUGACAGACUCAUACCUUACUGCUCAAAAUCACUCACUACUGUGUGAACAAUAACUUUUUAAGAUUUUAAUAGGAGU